GAUGAACGCUGGCGGCGUGCCUAAUACAUGCAAGUCGAGCGAACGGACGAGAAGCUUGCUUCUCUGAUGUUAGCGGCGGACGGGUGAGUAACACGUGGAUAACCUACCUAUAAGACUGGGAUAACUUCGGGAAACCGGAGCUAAUACCGGAUAAUAUUUUGAACCGCAUGGUUCAAAAGUGAAAGACGGUCUUGCUGUCACUUAUAGAUGGAUCCGCGCUGCAUUAGCUAGUUGGUAAGGUAACGGCUUACCAAGGCAACGAUGCAUAGCCGACCUGAGAGGGUGAUCGGCCACACUGGAACUGAGACACGGUCCAGACUCCUACGGGAGGCAGCAGUAGGGAAUCUUCCGCAAUGGGCGAAAGCCUGACGGAGCAACGCCGCGUGAGUGAUGAAGGUCUUCGGAUCGUAAAACUCUGUUAUUAGGGAAGAACAUAUGUGUAAGUAACUGUGCACAUCUUGACGGUAUCUAAUCAGAAAGCCACGGCUAACUACGU
rnacentral:rRNA from 1 species